rnacentral:rRNA from 1 species
GACGAACGCUGGCGGCGUGCUUAACACAUGCAAGUCGAGCGGAAAGGCCCUUCGGGGUACUCGAGCGGCGAACGGGUGAGUAACACGUGAGCAACCUGCCCUGGACUUUGGGAUAACCCUCGGAAACGGGGGCUAAUACCGGAUAUUACUUCUGCCCGCAUGGGUGGUGGUGGAAAGUUUUUCGGUCUGGGAUGGGCUCGCGGACUAUCAGCUUGUUGGUGGGGUGAUGGCCUACCAAGGCGACGACGGUAGCCGGCCUGAGAGGGCGACCGGCCACACUGGGACUGAGACACGGCCCAGACUCCUACGGGAGGCAGCAGUGGGGAAUAUUGCACAAUGGCGGAAGCCUGAUGCAGCGACGCCGCGUGAGGGAUGACGGCC